GUUUUAAAUAAAACCAACUCUCACACAAUCGCGCGAAAGCGCGAUAGAGGGAAUCCCAAGUGUUUGCACUAAAAAAUAAACUGUUUCUAUGUAAAAAAGGCAUGGACAGAAAGGGCUGGGUAAAACGGGUGCCAGCCGCCGCGGUAAUACCUGCAGCUCAAGGGGGGGUCGUUUUUUUUGGGCCUAAAACGUCCGUAGCGGGUUUAGUAAUUGCUGGGGGAAUGGGGCCGCUCAACGGCCCGAAUUCGGGGGGGACUGCCAACUUUGACCGGUUUUUUGUUCUUCUCGGGGCCAGGGGAAAUUCUGGUUCCUAGGGGGGCCCCCCUUGGGGAAGGGGCUAGCUGGAACGGGGCUGACGGGGAGGAAAAAACCCCUGGGGCGCACACCGGUUAAAUUCCCGUGGUAGUCCUGGGUGGAACCCUCCUCGCUUGAUUGGGUGGGUUUCCGAGCCCAAUCAGGGUCGGAGAGAAGUUGUAAAAAAACUCCUUGGAAAGUCCAAUCCCAAAAUUUAAACUUAAGGGAAUUGGUGGGGGUUUACAUCACCGGUGGGACCGUGCGGUUUAAUUGGAUUAACGCCGGAAAACUCCCCGAAGGCGAUGUUUUAUUAAAAGCCGGGGUGUGGACCUGCUAGUUUUCCAGGAGGGGUGGUUGGCCUCUUCAAUUCAAACCAAAAGCCUCUUUUAAUCAAAAAAGAACGAACCCUCUUUUUUAAUUCAAACAGGAAGCCCGCUUUUCGGCCUUUUGCCCCGCGGCGGAAAGUUAAAGAAGCCCAUGUCAACGGUGGUCCGAUCCCCGAAUCUUUUGGUUUCUCCCCCCCCAAAAGAAAAGGACAAUGGCCUCCCCCCCCACAGGGGGGGGUUAUCCGGAACCCCUUCUCCGUUCGGAGGCGAGGUGUGGAAUCUAACCUUCUGGAGCUGGAAUCCGGAGAACCCGGGCCCCCCCCCCCGGGGGGAAAAGCCCCUGUUUUUUGAAAACCCAAAAGGGGAUUUUUUUUAACUUGCUGGGCUAUUUCUUUUUUUUGGGGGUUUUUUUUACGACCUGCGCG
rnacentral:rRNA from 1 species